UACGUAGGGGGCAAGCGUUGUCCGGAUUUAUUGGGCGUAAAGAGCGUGUAGGUGGCCAUACAGGUCAGCUGUGAAAACUCGAGGCUCAACCUCGAGACGUCGGUUGAAACCGUAUGGCUAGAGUCCGGAAGAGGAGAGUGGAAUUCCCGGUGUAGCGGUGAAAUGCGCAGAUAUCGGGAAGAACACCCGUGGCGAAGGCGGCUCUCUGGGACGGUACUGACGCUGAGACGCGAAAGCGUGGGGAGCGAACAGG
rnacentral:rRNA from 1 species